ACUGGAAUUUAGUCCGAUGGCUUCAUUCUCCUGACUAGAGAAGGGUAUGCGGGCAGAAAGCAGGUUAUUCUUUCUGCUUUCCUGUCUUUUCAGCUUCUCCCGAAUAGCCUUGCGCUCUCCUCUCCCCGGCUCUCUCCUCCUUAUCAGUGCAUGGCCACGAGCUGGGAGAUUCCUAAAGUUCUGUUGUCUCUCAGAACAAAACAGAACACUCCAACCAAAUUUGAACAGAACCAUUGACAACAUUUACAAUUCUAUUACGUAUCAGUUUUCCUGCCUGGCAUUUAUUUGAGGAAAGGAUCUCUCGGAUAUGAGGGAGUUGGUUUUGGAAAAUUAAAUCAGACGGGCUAAAACGAUGAUGUGACUCGCAAGAAGAAAGAGGAUCAUUGUGUGAUAGGGGAAUUAUUUUUGGAGCGCUCAUUUUCAUGACUCCCAGUGCACAGAGGAGAAAACAUAUGGACGGUGUUGCUAAUUUAGGCCUGUGCUGGCUGCAGGCUCUGGAUGGAGGUUCCGCACAACUCUUCUUUGGUCUCCAUUUUUGAAUGGAAGGUUGCAGGAGACGUUGUCCGAGAUGGGAGACCGUGUCCUGCGAUCAAGCAGCAGAGUUAACGUAGGGAGUCUUCACCGUGGCUACCAGCAGGUCCACAUCUGUCUCCCGGAAGCACAAAAACCACAUCCUGGCUUGACAUGCUUCAGUUAACAAGAACAAUUAACCAGAAGCAGAACUAAAGAGCCAACAAGCAAGAUGUUGUUACUGUUAUUUUACCCUCCUCCUUCUUUCU